GAGUGAGAGAACAAGACCAAUUGUAUCCUCGAUAUGGGUAAAAGCUCGUUUGCCUCUGGUCCAGGAGUUGACCACUCUAGAUUCGAAACAUCUGAGACCCUAGUAUCUGCUCGGAUAGCCAGUUGCUCAAAAUGGAGUGGACAGCUCGCAAUACAAAUUGAAAACGCACAGAGAGUGGCUCCCUGGUCGGAUGAGCUCUAGCAGUGCAAUGAGAAAAAUUUGAUUUGAAGUAAAAGCGCUGCGCCAACUCUGUCAAAAAAAAAUAAAUUAAAUUAAAAAAAAAAACUUUUGCAUCCCUGCUGAUGCCACGUGACCACACCUAUUUAAGCAGUGGUACUAGUGUAUCAUAGUUACAACCCUUCCAUCGCAAGAAAUAUAAGUAACUAAGAAAGGCGCUGAAUCUGGGAGAAAAAAGUUGGAAAUUC
rnacentral:sRNA from 1 species